UGGGGAAUUUUGGACAAUGGGCGCAAGCCUGAUCCAGCCAUGCCGCGUGCGGGAAGAAGGCCUUCGGGUUGUAAACCGCUUUUGUCAGGGGAGAAAUCUUCUGAGUUAAUACCUCGGGAGGAUGACGGUACCUGAAGAAUAAGCACCGGCUAACUACGUGCCAGCAGCCGCGGUAAUACGUAGGGUGCAAGCGUUAAUCGGAAUUACUGGGCGUAAAGCGUGCGCAGGCGGUUUUGUAAGACAGAGGUGAAAUCCCCGGGCUCAACCUGGGAACUGCCUUUGUGACUGCAAGGCUUGAGUGCGGCAGAGGGGGAUGGAAUUCCGCGUGUAGCAGUGAAAUGCGUAGAUAUGCGGAGGAACACCGAUGGCGAAGGCAAUCCCCUGGGCCUGCACUGACGCUCAUGCACGAAAGCGUGGGGAGCAAACAGGAUUAGAUACCCUGGUAGUCCACGCCCUAAACGAUGUCAACUGGUUGUUGGGAAGGUUCCUUCUCAGUAACGUAGCUAACGCGUGAAGUUGACCGCCUGGGGAGUACGGCCGCAAGAUUAAAAGCUCAAAGGAAUUGAC
rnacentral:rRNA from 1 species